UACGGAGGGUGCAAGCGUUGUCCGGAUUUAUUGGGUUUAAAGGGUGCGUAGGUGGUUUGAUAAGUCUGGUUUGAAAGCAAGCGGCUUAAUCGUUUGAUGUGGCUGGAAACUGUUGAACUUGAAUGCGUUGGCGGUAGCCGGAACGGGUCAUGUAGCGGUGAAAUGCAUAGAUAUGACCCAGAACACCGAUUGCGAAGGCAGGCUACUACGACGAUAUUGACACUGAGGCACGAGAGCAUGGGUAGCGAACAGGAUUAGAUACCCCGGUA
rnacentral:rRNA from 1 species